rnacentral:rRNA from 1 species
GAUGAACGCUGGCGGCGUGCCUAAUACAUGCGAGUCGAGCGAACAGACGAGGAGCUUGCUCCUCUGACGUUAGCGGCGGACGGGUGAGUAACACGUGGAUAACCUACCUAUAAGACUGGGAUAACUUCGGGAAACCGGAGCUAAUACCGGAUAAUAUAUUGAACCGCAUGGUUCAAUAGUGAAAGACGGUUUUGCUGUCACUUAUAGAUGGAUCCGCGCCGCAUUAGCUAGUUGGUAAGGUAACGGCUUACCAAGGCAACGAUGCGUAGCCGACCUGAGAGGGGGAUCGGCCACACUGGAACGGAGACACGGUCCAGACUCCUACGGGAGGCAGCAGUAGGGAAUCUUCCGCAAUGGGCGAAAGCCUGACGGAGCAACGCCGCGUGAGUGAUGAAGGUCUUCGGAUCGUAAAACUCUGUUAUUAGGGAAGAACAAAUGUGUAAGUAACUAUGCACGUCUUGACGGUACCUAAUCAGAAAGCCACGGCUAACUACGUG